GGCCCCAUCGUCUAGCGGUUAGGACGCCGGCCUCUCACGCCGGAAACAGGGGUUCGAUUCCCCUUGGGGCUA
rnacentral:tRNA from 2 species